rnacentral:rRNA from 1 species
UUUGAUCCUGGCUCAGAUUGAACGCUGGCGGCAGGCCUAACACAUGCAAGUCGAGCGGUAACAUUUCUAGCUUGCUAGAAGAUGACGAGCGGCGGACGGGUGAGUAAUGCUUGGGAACAUGCCUUGAGGUGGGGGACAACAGUUGGAAACGACUGCUAAUACCGCAUAACGUCUACGGACCAAAGGGGGCUUCGGCUCUCGCCUUUAGAUUGGCCCAAGUGGGAUUAGCUAGUUGGUGAGGUAAUGGCUCACCAAGGCAACGAUCCCUAGCUGGUUUGAGAGGAUGAUCAGCCACACUGGAACUGAGACACGGUCCAGACUCCUACGGGAGGCAGCAGUGGGGAAUAUUGCACAAUGGGCGCAAGCCUGAUGCAGCUAUGCCGCGUGUGUGAAGAAGGCCUUCGGGUUGUAAAGCACUUUCAGUCAGGAGGAAAGGUUAGUAGUUAAUACC